UCCAGCACCCCCCCGCGACCCUGACGGAGAAGCGGCUUAGAAAAUGGAUGGAUGGAUGGAUGAUUUAGUGAGCUGAAUGUUUAACUAUGGCUGUGCUAAGCCUACCUCAUCAGACAGGGGGAAUGAGACAAGAGGAACGUCCCCUUUAAGGAGGAGCCGAUAAACUUAAACCAUUAGAGGGAGUGAGCCAGACAUUCCUAUCAUCAUCUACAAUGUCUGUCAUGUGAUUUUCUAACAAAACGCUGUCUUUAUCAGAGGCUGAGACAUGCAAGACAAGAAAUGAUAACAAAAAAUAGAUAGGUAGGGCAUAAGGUUAGAAUGUGCAGAAAGUGUUGAAGUGAGGAAAUUUUGAGUACGACUAGACUGGAAAUUCCAAAAAUGAAUAAACAGGGAAAACACCUGAAGGUGGCAGUGAUGCAACAUAUGGCUGCCAACUGCUGCAAAAAUCACAGAAGAAGAUUUGGGGGCGCACACCAUCUUCUGUUGUUUUCAUUGCCACCAUUGCCAUUGGCUUGCUCAUGAAGGCUUGGACCUGGAUUUUCCUGCAAAGCUGAUUUGGGAUGACACCUGUUAUAAAAAGUGAUAUUUAAAUAAAACUUGCACUGGCAAUAAAAAUAUAUUUUUGAACAAAACAUUAA